rnacentral:rRNA from 1 species
GUGGGGAAUAUUGGACAAUGGGCGAAAGCCUGAUCCAGCCAUGCCGCGUGUGUGAAGAAGGUCUUCGGAUUGUAAAGCACUUUAAGUUGGGAGGAAGGGCAGUAAGUUAAUACCUUGCUGUUUUGACGUUACCGACAGAAUAAGCACCGGCUAACUCCGUGCCAGCAGCCGCGGUAAUACGGAGGGUGCAAGCGUUAUCCGGAUUUAUUGGGUUUAAAGGGUCCGUAGGCGGAUCGUUAAGUCAGUGGUGAAAGCCUACCGCUCAACGGUAGAACUGCCAUUGAUACUGGCGAUCUUGAGUAUGUAUGAAGUUGGCGGAAUGUGUGGUGUAGCGGUGAAAUGCUUAGAUAUCACACAGAACACCGAUUGCGAAGGCAGCUGACUAAUACACAACUGACGCUGAGGGACGAAAGUGUGGGGAUCAAACAGGAUUAGAAACCCUGGUAGUCC